rnacentral:rRNA from 1 species
UCCCUCAUUUUUUUUUAGUUUUUUUGCCGCGACGACCAGGGUAAUGAUUAAUAGGGAUAGUUGGGGGCAUUAAUAUUUAAUUGUCAGAGGUGAAAUUCUUGGAUUUAUGAAAGAUUAACUUCUGCGAAAGCAUCUGCCAAGGAUGUUUUCAUUAAUCAAGAACGAAAGUUAGGGGAUCGAAGACGAUCAGAUACCGUCGUAGUCUUAACCAUAAACGAUGCCGACCAGCGAUUAGGAGACGUUGAAUACAAAACACCACCAUGCGCAUUGCGGUCGUCUUUGGUGUGUCGCUCACAAGGCGGCAUCAUCGGGACGGCUAAGCUCGGCAUUAA